AUUGAACGCUGGCGGCAUGCUUUACACAUGCAAGUCGAACGGUAACAGGCCGCAAGGUGCUGACGAGUGGCGAACGGGUGAGUAAUGCAUCGGAACGUGCCCAGUCGUGGGGGAUAACUACUCGAAAGAGUAGCUAAUACCGCAUACGAUCUAUGGAUGAAAGCGGGGGACCGUAAGGCCUCGCGCGAUUGGAUCGGCCGAUGUCAGAUUAGGUAGUUGGUGGGGUAAAGGCUCACCAAGCCAACGAUCUGUAGCUGGUCUGAGAGGACGACCAGCCACACUGGGACUGAGACACGGACCAGACUCCUACGGGAGGCAGCAGUGGGGAAUUUUGGACAAUGGGCGCAAGCCUGAUCCAGCAAUGCCGAGUGCAGGAAGAAGGCCUUCGGGUUGUAAACUGCUUUUGUACGGAACGAAACGGCUCUGGUUAAUACCCGGGGCUAAUGACGGUACCGUAAGAAUAAGCACCGGCUAACUACGUG
rnacentral:rRNA from 1 species